rnacentral:rRNA from 1 species
UUGGAGCGGCCGAUGUCGGAUUAGCUAGUUGGUGGGGAAACGGCCUACCAAGGCGACGAUCCGUAGCUGGUCUGAGAGGACGACCAGUCACACUGGGACUGAGACACGGCCCAGACUCCUACGGGAGGCAGCAGUGGGGAAUUUUGGACAAUGGGGGAAACCCUGAUCCAGCCAUGCCGCGUGGGUGAAGAAGGCCUUCGGGUUGUAAAGCCCUUUCGGCGGAGACGAAACGGUGCGCGCUAAUAACGCGCACUACUGACGGUAUCCGCAGAAGAAGCACCGGCUAACUACGUGCCAGCAGCCGCGGUAAUACGUAGGGUGCGGGCGUUAAUCGGAAUUACUGGGCGUAAAGCGUGCGCAGGCGGUCUCUUAAGUCAGAUGUGAAAUUCCCGGGCUUAACCUGGGAACUGCGUUUGAAACUACAAAGCUAGA